rnacentral:misc_RNA from 1 species
AUUUAUCCAUACCAAUAAAAUUUUAUAUAUAUAUUCACCACCUUCCCUCCUCUCCUUAACAUUUUCCAUAAAGAUUUGUUUUCUUUUUUUAUUCUUUUAUUAUUUGGUUUUCUUCUUUUUCCAUUUCCUCUCCCAAUUCUGUUCUAUAAUCAUCUUGCAAGAUUUGGAAAGAAAUCUGGUCGGAUCUUGCUUGUGGGUUGUGGACUUUGUUGGGUUUCAUUUCAAUACAAAAAAGCUCAACCCUUUCUCUUCCUCCUCUCCCACUUCUUCCUUUCCAUCUUAGGAACAGAAGCCAAUAUGCCAAUCUAAAAUACAGGAGGAAAAAAAAAAGAAGAGCAUUCCUUUUAUUGGUCUUCUCCUUUCAUUGUUCUUCUUGAGUAGUGUUUUGGAUCUUCAAUUUGCUGCAAUGUCUAUAACAGCAGACUCAAAGUUUCAUGUUUUAGCUGUUGAUGACAGCUUAAUAGACAGAAAACUCAUUGAGAGGCUCCUCAAGAUCUCAUCAUAUCAAGUUACUACAGUUGAUUCUGGUAGUAAAGCUCUAGAAUUUCUGGGUUUACAUGAAGAUGACCAAAGCAACCCAGAAACACCUUCUGUUUCUCCAAACAAUAAUCAGGAAGUGGAAGUGAAUCUUAUUAUUACAGAUUACUGUAUGCCUGGCAUGACAGGCUAUGAUUUGCUCAAGAAAAUAAAGGUAUGCUUUUUGGUUUUCUAUUCCCUUGUCUCCAUUCUCUGCCAUCAUUAUAUUCUCUUUUCUUUUCCUAAUCUUUCUAAAUAAGAUCCAUAUCUAUUAUUGGGAAAUUUUCUUCAUCGAAAUUCUUUCUUAGAAUGAAAAUUUUUUUCCCACUAGCUAGAGAAUGUCAAAUAAAAUCUCUUUUCCAUACUUUUUCCACCUACUUUCAAUCCAAACAAAUCAGUGUCAUGAUAUUCUAAGAUUUACUUGCUUAUACAAUGUUAUGCCAUGUGAGCAUACAUGAAAGCUUCUUGAUUUUAUGCACAUUUUAUUUUUUGGAUUAAAGAGAUUUAUGGGAUUUUUUUCCUCCCUUUUCUCUGAUUUUGUAGGAAUCAUCAUCUCUGAGAAACAUACCAGUAGUGAUAAUGUCAUCUGAGAAUGUUCCUUCAAGAAUCACCAGGUAAAAAAAGAACAAAUCAAGCUAGAUUUGGAUUUGUUCUUCGCCCAUUUUGGAAAAGUUAAGGGAUCUGUAAUCUGGUUCUUAAGGCAGACCAAAUUGACUAAUGGUUGUAAUUUGAUUACAGAUGUUUAGAGGAAGGAGCAGAAGAGUUUUUCUUGAAGCCAGUACAAUUAUCAGAUUUGCAUAGACUUAAACCUCAUAUGAUGAAAACAAAAAUAAAGACCCAAAAACAAGAAAAUGAAGAAAUCCAAGAACUGCAACCACCACCACCACCGCCGCCGCCGCCACCACAACAACUACCCAACAAUAGCAAGAGGAAGGCUAUGGAAGAAGGGCUUUCACCGGAUAGAACAAGACCCAGAUACAAUAACAUCACCACUGUGGUCUGAUAAAUCUUGAGGGCCUUUAUUAUGAUUAUUAUUAAAUUUUUUUCUCCUUUUAACAAUGUUAUCCAGAUAAUCAUCUUCUUCCUUUUCCAUUGAAGAAUUUAGUGGUGGUUGACACAGGCUCAAUAGGAGUGUAGAGAUAGAGCUGUUUCAUGUAUACAUUUUACAUGAAAAUUUUUCAUUCCAAUUUUGAUUUGCUAAUAACAUCCAAAAGAAAAGAGAGAGAGAGG